rnacentral:rRNA from 1 species
UUCCGGUUGAUCCUGCCGGACCCGACUGCUAUCAGAGUGGGACUAAGCCAUGCGAGUCAACGCAGCAAUGCGUGGCAUACGGCUCAGUAACACGUAGUCAACAUGCCCAAGGGACGUGAAUAACCUCGGGAAACUGAGGAUAAACCGCGAUAGGCCAAGGUUUCUGGAAUGGACAAUGGCUGAAAUCUACAUGGCCCUUGGAUUGGACUGCGGCCGAUCAGGCUGUUGGUGAGGUAAUGGCCCACCAAACCUAUAACCGGUACGGGCUUUGAGAGAAGGAGCCCGGAGAUGGGCACUGAGACAAGGGCCCAGGCCCUAUGGGGCGCAGCAGGCGCGAAAACUCUGCAAUAGGCGAAAGCUUGACAGGGUUACUCUGAGUGAUGCCCGCUAAGGGCAUCUUUUGGCACCUCUAAAAAUGGUGCAGAAUAAGGGGUGGGCAAGUCUGGUGUCAGCCGCCGCGGUAAUACCAGCACCCCGAGUAGUCGGGACGAUUAUUGGGCCUAAAGCAUCCGUAGCUUGUCCUGCAAGUCUUCCGUUAAAUCCACCUGCUCAACAGAUGGGCUGCGGAGGAUACUACAGGGCUAGGAGGCGGGAGAGGCAAGCGGUACUCAGUGGGUAGGGGUAAAAUCCUCUGAUCCACUGAAGACCACCAGUGGCGAAGGCGGCUUGCCAGAACGCGCUCGACGGUGAGGGAUGAAAGCUGGGGGAGCAAACCGGAUUAGAUACCCGGGUAGUCCCAGCUGUAAACUAUGCAAACUCAGUGAUGCAUUGGCUUGUGGCCAAUGCAGUGCUGCAGGGAAGCCGUUAAGUUUGCCGCCUGGGAAGUACGUACGCAAGUAUGAAACUUAAAGGAAUUGGUCGGGGGAGCACCACAAGGGGUGAAGCCUGCGGGUUCAAUUGGAGUCAACGCCGGGA